rnacentral:misc_RNA from 1 species
UUUCCGUAGGUGAACCUGCGGAGGGAUCAUUAUUGUAUAACCGAGGUGCGAGGGCUGUCGCUGACCCGAAAGGUCGUGCACGCCCGAGUGCUCUCACACACAUCCAUCUCACCCCUAUGUGCACCACCGCGUGGGUCCCCCUUUGGCUUGUUCGGAGGGGGGCUUACGUUUUCACACAAACUUUGUAUGCAGUGUAGAAUGUAUUUUUUGUUUUUGCGAUCACGCAAUCAAUACAACUUUCAACAACGGAUCUCUUGGCUCUC